AACCAUAGGUCAGUUCUGCCUGUCCUUGAACUUCAUACUAAAUCAUAUAACACGUCCUCUUUUUCAGCCCGGGUUCCUUUACUCAAGCACAAUGUACGUGAGACUCAUCCCUGCGGCUGCAUCAGUCCCUUUUUAUCACUGCGUUGGCUUCCACUGUAAGAACAGAUCCCAGAUUAUCUCCUGUCCUGUUUGUGGAUACCUGGACUGGUUCCAAGUGAAGGCCACCAGGAAUGAAGCUGCUGUGAACAUUUACGUAUAGAUUUUUGUGUGAUCAUUUCUUCACCUCUCCAGGGUACGUGUUUAGGAGUGGGAUUGCUGACUUGUACGAUCUUCCAAGAGAAAAGAUUUACACUGAGUUACAGCCACCAAGAGGGUUUCCUCAAUGACUCAGCGGGUAAGAAUCUGCUUGUAACGCAGGAGAGACAGGAGACUUCAAUCCCUGCGUCAGGAAGCUCCCUGGAGGAGGAAGUGGCAGCCCACUCCAGUUUUCUUGCCUGGAGAAUCCCAUGGACAGAGGAGCCUGGUGGGCUACAGUCCAAAAGGCCACAAAGAGUCAGACACGACGGAACACACAGCACACGUGGAGCCACCAAGAUACGUGAGAAUCCACAUCAGUGCGUGGAGCUUUUCCUUACGUGUUCACUGUAUCUCGAAAUGCUAGUGAAUGUAUUAUUUUCUCUACUAGUCAUUUCAUUCUAUAAUCAGAGUUACAUUCUCCACUAGUAGGGAGGUCUCAUUUCCUUAAAAUCCUUUCAAAUUACAGUUCCUUGUCUUGACAACCAUACCGGUACUGUUGUACUAACUGACAGGGGUCAGUUGCCUUGUGUUCCAAACCCUGCUAUAAAAAUUGAAAUGAAUAUUUUUCUUCAGCUCUGAAGGAAUAUAAUGUAAAUCAUCAAGCAUUAUGAUAUAAAUGUAUAUAAGUAGUGACUAUGAAAAAAAUAAGGCUAAUUAUUAUUUAACAUAACAAACCUUCAUUAAGGAUAAGCCAGUUCUAUCACUGGGCUGAAAGACACAGGAAAGUACCUAGAUUUUUCAGGAAACAAAAACCUAGCUGAAGUCUACACUGAAAUAUUGACUAUUUCUGUGGCUUUUUGAAAGCUGUUCCUAAAUCUUACUUUUCUUUUCUCUACAGUAGAAAAAAUAAAAAUACAAAGAAUCUCUCUCUCUCUUUAGUCGCUAAGUGGUGUCCAACUCUUGCGACCCCAUGGCCUGUAGCCUGCCAGGCUCCUCUGUCCGUGGAAUUCUCUAGGCCAGAAUACUGGAGUGGGUUGCCAUUUCCUUCUCCAGACAAAGGAUAGGGUCGGCCUAUAACUUAUUGUCCAGCUGGGACACUUUCUGCAUGUUUCCCGCAGAAAUUCUUUCAGGUCCUUUUAUGGGGGAAGUUUUGCUUGAAGUUUAAUACAUAUAUAGAAAAGUGUACAUAUCAUAAGUGGAUUUUCAAAAACAGAAUAUAUCUAUGAAAUAGAUUUAUUAUGAAACAACCAGAUUAAAAAAUCUAUAAAAUCAGUACCCAGACUAAGGAAUAGAGUAUGACCAACAUUUAAGCUCAGGUAUUUUCUCUUUUUUUAAAUGUACUUGGCACAGCACCUGCGAUCAAACUGGGGCUCCGGCCGUGAGGGUGUCAAAUCCUAAGCUCUGGACUACCGGGGAAUUCCCUAAGCUGAAAUAUUUUUGAGAAUGAAAGGUGGCAUUAUUUUUCAACAGCCAGUUGAGGUGUAUUGAUAUACAAUAAACUGUGCAUAUUUAAAUUUACAGUUUGUGAUCCUUUCAGCAGCACAUAUACUAAAAUCGGAACAAUACAGAGAGGAUUAGCAUGAGCCCUGUGCAGGCAUGACACGAAUUUGUGGAGCACUCUAUAUUUUAAAAAUAAUAAAAUAA